AAAAGCGGAGGAAAAGAAACCAACAGGGAUUGCCUCAGUAGCGGCGAGUGAAGCGGCAAGAGCUCAGAUUUGAAAUCGUGCUUUGCGGCACGAGUUGUAGAUUGCAGGUUGGAGUCUGUGUGGAAGGCGGUGUCCAAGUCCCUUGGAACAGGGCGCCCAGGAGGGUGAGAGCCCCGUGGGAUGCCGGCGGAAGCAGUGAGGCCCUUCUGACGAGUCGAGUUGUUUGGGAAUGCAGCUCCAAGCGGGUGGUAAAUUCCAUCUAAGGCUAAAUACUGGCGAGAGACCGAUAGCGAACAAGUACUGUGAAGGAAAGAUGAAAAGCACUUUGAAAAGAGAGUGAAACAGCACGUGAAAUUGUUGAAAGGGAAGGGUAUUGCGCCCGACAUGGGGAUUGCGCACCGCUGCCUCUCGUGGGCGGCGCUCUGGGCUUUCCCUGGGCCAGCAUCGGUUCUUGCUGCAGGAGAAGGGGUUCUGGAACGUGGCUCUUCGGAGUGUUAUAGCCAGGGCCAGAUGCUGCGUGCGGGGACCGAGGACUGCGGCCGUGUAGUCACGGAU
rnacentral:rRNA from 1 species